rnacentral:rRNA from 1 species
AUUGAACGCUGGCGGCAGGCCUAACACAUGCAAGUCGAACGGUAACAGGAAGCAGCUUGCUGCUUUGCUGACGAGUGGCGGACGGGUGAGUAAUGUCUGGGAAACUGCCUGAUGGAGGGGGAUAACUACUGGAAACGGUAGCUAAUACCGCAUAACGUCGCAAGACCAAAGAGGGGGACCUUCGGGCCUCUUGCCAUCGGAUGUGCCCAGAUGGGAUUAGCUAGUAGGUGGGGUAACGGCUCACCUAGGCGACGAUCCCUAGCUGGUCUGAGAGGAUGACCAGCGACACUGGAACUGAGACACGGUCCAGACUCCUACGGGAGGCAGCAGUGGGGAAUAUUGCACAAUGGGCGCAAGCCUGAUGCAGCCAUGCCGCGUGUAUGAAGAAGGCCUUCGGGUUGUAAAGUACUUUCAGCGGGGAGGAAGGGAGUAAAGUUAAUACCUUUGCUCAUUGACGUUACCCGCAGAAGAAGCACCGGCUAACUCCGUG